GAUGAACGCUGGCGGCGUGCCUAACACAUGCAAGUCAAGGAGAAGGUAACCUUCGGGGAACCGGAUACUGGCGCACGGGUGAGUAACACGUGGAUUAUCUACCCUUUACACAGACAUAACUCAGGGAAACUUGAGCUAAUAUCUGAUGAGGCCUCCGGGUCAAAAGCUUCGGCGGUAAAGGAUGAGUCUGCGUCUGAUUAGCUAGUUGGUAAGGUAAUGGCUUACCAAGGCGACGAUCAGUAACUGGUCUGAGAGGACGAUCAGUCACACUGGAACUGAGACACGGUCCAGACUCCUACGGGAGGCAGCAGUGAGGAAUUUUGGACAAUGGGGGAAACCCGUGAUCCAGCGACGCCGCGUGUGGGAUGAAUGGGUUAUGCCCUGUAAACCAACUGUCAGCAGAGAAGAAAAGGUUCCUUUGGAACCCGGGACUGUAUCUGCAGAGGAAGGACCGGCUAACUACGUGCCAGCAGCG
rnacentral:rRNA from 1 species